UCUGCAGUCUCUUGAAUAUCCAAGAUUCCAACAUCAGCAGUCUCCUGCAUCUUUCAGAAUGUAGUACAUCAAUGGGUUGUUGUGGAUGCCAGAUCAUCAAGGGCAUUUAAAGAGCAGGACUGGAGCAACUUGAAAGCAGUAUAAAUAAUGGAACAGUUUUCAUGAACUGAAAUCCACAAAAUCUUCAACAACCCACAAUGACUGACACAUCAAGGAAGCCUCUGUAAGGCUCUGUCAUCAAGUCACCAUUGCUAACACUGGGGCCUGACAGAAGGUGCAUGGCAAAAAGGGAAAUAUUGUCAACAACGAGGUUCAUCACCCAUCCUACAAAAUACCAGAGAUGAUAUGGACAGUCAUCACACAAUGCUGGACUACCCAGUGAAGAAAUGACCACUCUCAUUGCUGCUGGAAGAUCAAAUCCAUCCUGCAUAUGAAUGUAGACUCCAAAACCACACUGAGCAUCAUUAUAUCAAUCACAGCCCAACACAGACUAUCCACAUCAAAGUUGUAUAUUCUAAAAUCAAUAGAAACUGUUUAAGCUUUGCCUACUGAAUUCUGCAACUCUCUAUGUGAAGAAUUUUGAUGCUUUGAUACCACCUGCCUGGUCUUUGUUUACUAACAUGCAAUGUUUCGGGUGCAGUGUUAAACACUGCUAUCUUAACGUAAUUUGGAAAUGAUAAUUAUAGAGCAAAAUAAGGAAGCAAUUAAAGGAGAAGAAAAAGGCCAUUAGACCAGUGGUUUCCAAAGUGGGCGUUAUCAGCCUGCUGGGGUUGGUGGGAGUUUCUAAGGGGUAAUAUCGAUAAAGAGGAUGAUGGAGAGGGCACUCUGUAGAAAGGGGACUACUGAGGGAUUGCAGACUUAAUUUGAGAAAUUAUUAUAAGUAUUUGAUCAUCAAUACCUCAUUGAUUACAGUGAUCAUGUAAUCACCUCAUCUCUUGCUAAUCUACUGUUCUCUUAGACUUUGCUUGAAGCACGUUACAGUUGUUGAAAAGCAAUGUGACACUUCUGUAUUUGGCACAUCAUAAGAAAUCUGACUGAAGAAAUUGUGAUAUCUCAGGGCCCGGUGCAUGCAUUAUUGCCAUUCAUUACUGUGGUACAGUGUUAGCUAUCACAAUUCCCAUACUCUAAUCACACUGUGACACAAUUCCUGUGAGUUAAGGCACGGCAUUCAAUGGGGCAAAGGUCAAAAUAUACCCUUUUGAAUGGUUUUGAUGGAAUUUCUCUGGCCCAUGGCCUAAGAUAUCGCUGCCCCACUUUAUGUACCUUCAGGCAGAGAGUCAGGUUUUACCUGAGCUAUGAUGGUAUCAUUACUUUCUCCUUUAUUGAUUGCAGCACUUGAGGUCGGACUUAAACAAUAGGCGAUUGACUCUGGUCAUUAAUCCACAACAAAAAUAGCAGA